rnacentral:rRNA from 1 species
UAUAACCGGCGAUACCCGAAUGGGGAAACCCAGUGUGACUCGUCACACUAUCAUUAACUGAAUCCAUAGGUUAAUGAGGCGAACCGGGGGAACUGAAACAUCUAAGUACCCCGAGGAAAAGAAAUCAACCGAGAUUCCCCCAGUAGCGGCGAGCGAACGGGGAGGAGCCCAGAGCCUGAAUCAGCAUGUGUGUUAGUGGAAGCGUCUGGAAAGGCGCGCGAUACAGGGUGACAGCCCCGUACACAAAAGCGCAUGUGCUGUGAGCUCGAUGAGUAGGGCGGGACACGUGGUAUCCUGUCUGAAUAUGGGGGGACCAUCCUCCAAGGCUAAAUACUCCUGACUGACCGAUAGUGAACCAGUACCGUGAGGGAAAGGCGAAAAGAACCCCGGCGAGGGGAGUGAAAAAGAACCUGAAACCGUGUACGUACAAGCAGUGGGAGCCCCACCACUAAGCCAGUGGUGAACUCCACAUACGCAUCCUUUGCUGAAGGCAAUGGUUAACGGAGCGAAAGCGACGUUCAACCGCAAAACAAGCAGAGGGGGCUUAGUGGUGGGGUGACUGCGUACCUUUUGUAUAAUGGGUCAGCGACUUAUAUUCUGUAGCAAGGUUAACCGUAUAGGGGAGCCGGAGGGAAACCGAGUCUUAAUUGGGCGUUAAGUUGCAGGGUAUAGACCCGAAACCCGGUGAUCUAGCCAUGGGCAGGUUGAAGGUUGGGUAACACUAACUGGAGGACCGAACCGACUAAUGUUGAAAAAUUAGCGGAUGACCUGUGGCUGGGGGUGAAAGGCCAAUCAAACCGGGAGAUAGCUGGUUCUCCCCGAAAGCUAUUUAGGUAGCGCCUCGUGAAUUCAUCUCCGGGGGUAGAGCACUGUUUCGGCUAGGGGGCCAUCCCGGCUUACCAACCCGAUGCAAACUGCGAAUACCGGAGAAUGUUAUCACGGGAGACACACGGCGGGUGCUAACGUCCGUCGUGAAGAGGGAAACAACCCAGACCGCCAGCUAAGGUCCCAAAGUCAUGGUUAAGUGGGAAACGAUGUGGGAAGGCCCAGACAGCCAGGAUGUUGGCUUAGAAGCAGCCAUCAUUUAAAGAAAGCGUAAUAGCUCACUGGUCGAGUCGGCCUGCGCGGAAGAUGUAACGGGGCUAAACCAUGCACCGAAGCUGCGGCAGCGAACGUAUCACUUAAAGCGAUUCAGCGGGUUACGAUUGACGGAGCGAAGCGACGUCAAAGCGUAUACAAAGUCGAGUCGGUUUAAGGAUACGUUCGUUGGGUAGGGGAGCGUUCUGUA